rnacentral:rRNA from 1 species
AUUGAACGCUGGCGGCAUGCCUUACACAUGCAAGUCGAACGGCAGCACGGGUGCUUGCACCUGGUGGCGAGUGGCGAACGGGUGAGUAAUACAUCGGAACAUGUCCUGUAGUGGGGGAUAGCCCGGCGAAAGCCGGAUUAAUACCGCAUACGAUCUACGGAUGAAAGCGGGGGACCUUCGGGCCUCGCGCUAUAGGGUUGGCCGAUGGCUGAUUAGCUAGUUGGUGGGGUAAAGGCCUACCAAGGCGACGAUCAGUAGCUGGUCUGAGAGGACGACCAGCCACACUGGGACUGAGACACGGCCCAGACUCCUACGGGAGGCAGCAGUGGGGAAUUUUGGACAAUGGGCGAAAGCCUGAUCCAGCAAUGCCGCGUGUGUGAAGAAGGCCUUCGGGUUGUAAAGCACUUUUGUCCGGAAAGAAAUCCUGGCCCUAAUACGGUCGGGGGAUGACGGUACCGGAAGAAUAAGCACCGGCUAACUACGUG